rnacentral:rRNA from 1 species
CCUACGGUGGGCAGCAGUAGGGACUUUUGCGCAAUGGGCGAAACCCUGACGCAGCAACGCCGCGUGAUCGAGACGCCCUUCGGGGUGUAAAGAUCUGUCAGUUGGGACGAAACUUGACUGUACCCACAGACGCAGCACCGGCUAACUCCGUGCCAGCAGCCGCGGUAAUACGGGGGGUGCUAGCGUUGUCCGGAAUCAUUGGGCGUAAAGAGUUCGUAGGCGGCACGGAAAGUCUGGUGUUAAAGGCAGAGGCGCAACUUCUGUACGGCACUGGAUACUUGCGAGCUAGAAUGCGGUAGAGGUAAAGGGAAUGCCUGGUGUAGCGGUGAAAUGCUUAGAUAUCAGGAGGAACAUCGGUGGCGUAAGCGCGUUACUGGGCCGUAAUUGACGCUGAGGAACGAAAGCCAGGGUAGCAAAUGGGAUUAGAUACCCGAGUAGUC